UUGGAGACUAGGCAGAGAAAAGAUGGAGACACUACAGUGAGCCAUUCAGGACAGAAGAACACUCCCCAGGAAGCAGCACUGCACUAUCUUGGGACAAAUCUGAGACUGAUUUAUCCACAGGCGCCAUAGCAACAGCGAAGUGGCAUUUAACCCUGAGACCUGUGUCUGCAGGCCGCCAGGUUGUCUCGUCCAGGUGCCGUGGAGGACAUAAGACCAAAAAUGCAGAAGUGAACAAACCCAUCCACAAUAUGGACUAUAGUAAUCAGAAUAGUGUCAGCUAUUUGUACUCGGAAGGAAGCAGCUACAGAGGAAAUCAAGUGUGUCUUAUGCCACGGGAGAGGUUCCAGAAGAGAAGUCUGCUGUUUUAAGACGCAGGCACCAGGCAGCCAUUUAAACAUCUUGUGUAGGAUGGGAACAGAUUUACGUUUGGGAAAGAUCUUUGGCCAGCAGUAUGAAGAUGGACGGAUGUGGAGGCUGUGGCAGUGAUGCAGAUGAGGUACCUGAGCCUCUGGAACUUUCUGGAAUGAGCAGAAACAAGCAGCCUGCAUCCUGAGCCACACGCCUCAAUGACACUUCACUUUGAAAGCACCCCUGGCCAUUUGAGCAGAGAGGAGGAUGUGAAAAGAGCCCCGGACACCUAGACAGAUGAGGACACUGAGGCUCAGAGAGUUUAAAUGACUUUCUCAAGGAUACGCGAGUGGGAAGCAGUUGUGUUGGAAUAGAAACCAAGGCUUCACUGACAGCAGUACUUGUGCUGUAUAAUCUACCUGCCUCUUAAGCACCCAACAGGCACCUUUGCCCCAGCUGUACUCCACAGUGUCUUCCCAACUCAAGGGCCCCCAAGGCAGGUCAGCUGCACCUGAAACAGCAGAAUGUGGCAGUUCACUCAGGCCCCUGGAGGUGGACCUCAGCACGUGCGCUGCAUUGAUGGGGAAGGACACAGCCCAGAGUGAACAACAUGAGAAAAGUUACAAUAGAGGAAAAAUACAGGACAGACUCUGGUGACAGGGAGCAAACCACCUCAUGUGAAGCCACUGAGAGAAGCAGAUGACGAGCGCUCGCCAGGUGCUGGGGGGACACACGGUGGCUACCCUGGAGAAGCCUGCUGAGGCUUCAGGCAGGCAGAGUGCAGACUGGCGGCUGCAGCCCUGGCCAGAGGUGCAGUGAAGGCAUUUGAGAGCAGGCCGCCCACAGGAUGUUGGAAACCACAGGGGCCAGGCUUUGCCUUGCGGGCGGCAGCUGUGGUGAAGGUGAUGCACUGGGUGUCCAGGAAGUCCAGCAGCUUCCCCGUGGCCACAUGGAUGCCUUGAUGCUUCAGCUCGGCCUG